CACCUACUACAACUGCAGCUUGACUAAAGAAAUGGUGAUUUAUUUUCCAAAGAUAACUGUAAUGGAUUCACUGAGAAACUGUACAUUGACUUGCCAUGUGGCCCCUUUCUAAAGACUUUUUCAAUAACAAUUUUGAUAUCCUGCAUGUUCCUUUUCUUUCGCCUUGACUUUAAAAUUAAGCCCCUGCAUAAGAUGGUGUGACAGAUAUUUAUUUAUUUAUUUAUUUUUUUACUAUAGUUGCUGCAUCGGCAUUCAUUUCUAGGCCUAACAUGAGUGUUUUGAAACCCAGUAGUACCUUUGGACUAGUUAAAAUUUCCCCUCUCUGUGCAUUUGUUUGUGAGAUAGCCCACUUGCUCCUCAUCCCACUGACAAAACACCAAGACACCUCACAGCUGCUGACCACAAAUAUCCCAAAUGAUCAACACCAGGGUCAUGUAAAUAAAUUCUCCACUUCCCACGUGUUUCUGUAAACUAGCCAAUCCACAACCCCUGAGGGAAAACCUAAGUGUUAUCACACGUGGACCUUAAUAAGGGCAUAGUCCCAAAUGCUUUUAUUGAGAGGUCCACGGGUCGUCUUUUUCUCUCCCCUUACCUGCAGGCUGGGCUCCCUUCCACCUCUUCUCACUGGCCUCCUGUUUGUACCCCUGACCUCUCCGGGAUCGGGAUCCCAACACUGUCUUCUGCAAUGAAAACCCUGAUUUUCUAUAUCUGGACAAAAGACUAGGACAUAACGAGAAUUUUAGCGGAAGGAACUGAGGGAGAGAGAUUGCACAGCAGACAAGGACAAAUAAAGGGAAGGUGGAAACAAGGUCUUGCUAUGUCACCCAGGCUGGAGUGCAGUUGCGCCAUCUCGGAUCACCACAACCUCCACCUCCUGUGUUCAAGUGAUCUGCCUCAGCCUCCCAAGUAGCUGAGAUGACAGGUGAUCACAGACAGCACAAGAGGGGCAGAAAAUCUCUCAGAAAGUGGUGAGAGUUGUCCAAUUUGGUCAAGCAGGAACAAUGUGGGCAGUGUUACACGCGAAUGAAGACUUUUCAGCGAGAGUGGAAAGGGGUGAAAUGUGUAACAACCCACACAGAGCUGCUUUCAGCUUCACUCACCUAGUCAGGUUGUGGAUGGCCCCAUAACCCCUUUUGUAUUUGCUUGUUAACAGGGAAGAAUGCGUCUGAUCUCAGUGUCUUGUCCAGGUGAUUAAUGGGGAUGCUGUUGCAGAGAUGCAUGCUGCUUUCUUCCAUGUAGCCUUGGUAUCAAGUAGCACCAGCUCAGUAACCAGGUUGUAUUAUCUUAAAAUCAGUAAAUGAAAUCGGGGAGAAUCCGAGUGAGUGUCCUGGACUAAUGGUGAUGUUUAACAGGGCAGGAAGCUGAGCUGUAAGAGUGAUGCUGGAGGGUCAUAUGUUUGGAUUCUUCAAUCAGUUUAAAUAUGGCCUGGGUCAGAAUCAUGGACUGUUACUAUGCAGAGAUUAUUCCAUUAUCCUCCCUAACAUAUCAACUUUUAUCCCAGGAAUACACUUAACAGUUCCAGAGAAGUUGAAGGAUAGAGUAAAUAUUCGCAGGGCUGGCCCUAAAUGAAAUGACUAUUUCAUGUUCUGCCCUCAUGCUCCAAUUUUCUUUCUGGGGACUCUUUUCUCUCAUUUCUUCCCACUAGAGUCAAUCUUAUAUGAGCCUUGAGAUUUAGGAUUGCACUCUGGAAGGGUGAGGGUUUAAAAGGAAGCGGUCAAGUGCUGACCUACAUGACUUAAAUAGUCUCUUGUCUAUCUACAAACCUUCUAAAUGUGUUAUUACUUCUGUUUUAGAGAUGAGGAAUCUGAGGCAGUUUCCAAAAAGAUAAGCAAUUUUCCCUAAAGCAAACAGGUAAUAUAUGAAGGAAGUAGGGUUCAAGCCCAAUUCUGCAAGACUCAAAAGUUGUCUUCUGCACCAGGCUGUGGAGAUGCAAAUCUCUCAUUCCACGUCUAUUCUACUCACAAAAACUGCCACCUAAAUCCUACCUCUCCUUCACUCAAAAAUAUAUAUCUUGAAUACUUUAUAUGCUAGGCACUGGUCCAGGUUUUGGGAAUACAGUGCCAGUGAGACUAAUAUGAUUGCUGCUUUCAUGAAACUCACUAGGCAGUGGGAGACAUGAAAAUAUAUAAGCACAAAACUGUAAUUACAGAGAUAGAUAAGUUUUAUAAAAGGAAAAAUAUAUGAUAUGAUAGAAGAUACGUGUGUAGGGAGGGGAUCUUUUUUAUUUGGUUAGGGACAGGCUUUCUGAACUAGUCACAUUGAGGCCUGAGUCCUUACAGAUGAGAAGCAGAAAGCCACGCAAAGCACUGAGCAUUCUGGACAAAAGGAUCAGCAAAAGUAAAAACCCUGAAGCAAGGAAGAAAUGGUCUGUCCAUGGAGCUGUAAGUAGACCAUCUUGGGAAAGCAUGCAGGGAAAGAUAUGAGAUGUAAUUGGAGAUUGAAGCUAGAGCAAGAUCAUUAGAUCGUGUAGGUCCUCACAGGAUUUGAUUGCAUGCUAAGUGCACGAAACAGGUGCCAGUGAUCAUGUUACUCUCCUGCUUAAAAAGCUCCAGUGGGUUCCACGUUCAACUCUUUGUUGCUUGUGUACCUUCUAUGUUGCCUUGUGUUGGUUUUGACUUCUCAUUACAGGCCCUUUUGCUGAUUUUAGGAUAAAUGACAGUACUGUUAGUUAAGCAGGGAGAUCCUAGAUAACUGUCCCUGCUAGUUCACAAACAGUAUCUUUUACCACUAACAAUUGUCUCCUCCAACCUCCGCAGGAACUUUUGAUUUGGUUUUAGUUCUCAUAGAGUCUGUCAUGGAGACACAGAGGGAGGAGGAUGAGCUAGGGAACAUUUCAGCAGGUUUCUGCCUCCAUUCCCACCCUUUUCUUUGUGCUUCAGCAAAUCUAAUCAAUUAGGUUAAAGUUUUUUUCUAAGGACCAUGCAGUUUCAGACCUCUAUUCAUUCUUCACAUCUUUUACAAAUCCUUUGUGUGUGUUCUUGAUUCUUCCUAGAGUACCAUUUUCUAUAGUUUGCCUGUUUGGCAACCUUUAAACCAACUUUUCUUUGAAGACUCUCUGAGAAUUACUCUAACUAGUUAUGUUUCCUUUAUGCACUUCUAUUAGUUCCCUUAACACAUUUUAAUUGCUUAUACACAGGGUUCACAUCCUUUAUUAAUGUAUGAACUCACUGGGGUUAUUGACCUUGUUCAUUUGUCUUUGCGUCGCUGGCACUCAGCUUAGUGCCUAGCUCAAAGUAGAUUUUCAAGAAAUGCUAAGUGAAUGCCUAGUGGAAGUUCAUGCUCUGUAAUUAACUCAGAAUUGAUAUGCAUGCUCUUAGGCAAGUCAUUUACCCUCUCAGAGACCUUAGUAAGUUAUAUAAUUUAUACUACUAUGUUUUCCUGGUUUACUUUAUAAUACUAAGUUACUGAAAACUUGAUCGAUUGAUAACUUACUCUGUACAGGCCCUAUGCUAGGGGCUUUUAGAUGGAUUAUCUCAAUUUACCCUUAACGUCAACCCCAUGAAGUAGCUUUAGAUAUUAUCCUCAGUUGACAGACAAGGAAACUGAGACCCAGGGAUGAAAAAUGACUUGUGCAAAGUCACACAAGCUGCUAGAGUAUGAGAGAUUCAAACUAACUAUGUUGCACUCCAAGGCCCAGGCUGUCAAGUGUUCUUCUGCUGAAUUGUUUUCAACUCUCUAAAUCAGUGGAUAAAGCUACUCUUUUCUUUUUUUUCUUUUCUUUUCUUUCUUUCCUUUUCUUUUCUUUCUUUCUUUCUUUUUUUUUUUUUGACAGAGUCUUGCUCUGUCAUCCAGACUGGAGUGCAGCGGUGCGAUCUCAGCUCACUGCAAGCUCCGCCUCCCGGGUUCACGCCAUUCUCCUGCCUGAGCCUCCCCAGUAGCUGGUACUACAGGUGCCAAUCAUGCAAAUCAGCCAUCAUGCCUGGCUAAUUUUUUGUAUUUUUGGUAGAGACGGGGUUUCACCCUGUUAGCCAGGAUGGUCUCGAUCUACUGACCUCAUGAUCCGCCUGCCUCGGCCUCCCAAAGUGCUGGGAUUAUAGGCGUAAGCCACCAUGCCCGGCCUAAAGUUGAUCUUUAUGAGGUUAACCUUUUCUCCUUUUCUUUCUGAUUUAGAUAAUUCUCAAGCCAAUAUAGAUGGCGAUUUUUAAAAGAUUAAUCUAUUUUUAAAUUGACAUAUAAAAUUGUAUGUAUGUAGUUUGUACAACAGGAUGCUUUGAAGUAUAUAUACAUAGUGAAAUGGUUAAAUCUAGUUAAUAAAUUCAUGUUAUAUGGUAAUUUUUGUGGUGAGAAUACCUAACGCAUUUUUCAAGAAUAUAUCAUCAACUAUAGUCAUCAUGCUGUACAAGAGAUCAUUUGAACAUAAUCCCUCUAACUGUAGACAUGUAUCUUUGAACCAACAGUACCCCAAGCCCCUCUACCCCCUAACCACCCCAGCCUCUGAUAACUACCACUCAACUCUCUGCUUCUAUGAAAUCAACUUUUUAAGAUUCCACUUAUGGGUGACAUCAUGCAGUAUUUGUCUUUCUAUAACUGGCUCAUUUCACUUAAUGUUCUCCAGAUUCAUCCAUGUUGUCACAAGUGGCAGGAGCAUUCUUUUCAUGGAUGAAUAGUAUUCCAUCAUGUAUACAUACCACAUUUUUUCGCCUGUGAAUCUAUUGAUAGACACUUAGGUUGCUUCUAUAUCUUGGCUACUGUGAAUAGUACUGCAGUCACUAUAGGCAUGCAGGUCUCUUCCACAUACUGACUCCAUUUCCUUUGGAUAUAUAUCUGGUAGUGGGUUUGGUGAGUCCUGUGGUAGUAAUAAUUUUAACUUUUGAGGAGCCUCCAUGCUGUUUUCCAUAAUAGCUCUACAGUAUGAUUUACAUUCCCAUCAACAGUGUACAAGGGUUCCCUUUCCUUCACAUCCACACCAAGAUUUAUCUUUUGUCUGCUUGAUAAUUGCUCUUCUAUGAGGUGAUAUCUUGUGGUUUUGGUUUGCAUUUUUCUGAUUAAUAAUGAGCAUUUAAAAAAUUAUACCUGUUAGCCAUUUGUAUAUCUUUUAAGAAAUGUCUAUUCAGGUCAUUUGGCUAUUUUUAGUUGGGUUAUUUGCUUCCUUGCUAUUGAGUUGGGUUCUUUAUGUACUUUUAUAUUAACCCCUCAUCAGAUAUAUGAUGUACAAAUGUUUUGUCUUCACUCUGUUUUUUCCUUUGCUGCACAGAAGUGUUUUAAUUUGAUAUAGUCCCAUUUGUCUAUUUUUGCUUUUGCUGCCUAUGCUUCUGGGGGCAUAUCCAGAAAAUCAUUGCCCAGACCAACGUCAUGAAGCUUUUGCCGCAUGUUUUCUUCUAAUAGAUUCAUAAUUUGGAGUUUUACAUUUAAGAUUUCAUUCAAUUCUGAGUUGAUUUUUGCAUAUGAUAAAAUAAAAGAAUUUAAUUUCAUUAUUUUACAU
rnacentral:lncRNA from 1 species